CCUUACAUCCUGGGUUGCAAACGUGCUACAAUGGUAGGUACAAAGCGACGCGAGGCCGCGAGGCGGAGCAAAUCGCAUAAAACCUGCCCCAGUUCGGAUUGCAGUCUGAAACCCGACUGCAUGAAGCCGGAAUCGCUAGUAAUCGCGGAUCAGCCACGCCGCGGUGAAUACGUUCCUGAGCCUUGUACACACCGCCCGUCAAGUCAUGGAAGCCGGGAGUGCCCGAAGUCGCCCUAUCUCAGGGGUGCCCACGGCAAGUUCGGUGACUGGGACUAAGUCGUAACAAGGUAGCCGUAGGAGAACCUGCGGCUGGAUCACCUCCUUU
rnacentral:rRNA from 1 species